GACGAACGCUGGCGGCGUGCUUAACACAUGCAAGUCGAACGGAAAGGCCCUGCUGUUGUGGGGUGCUCGAGUGGCGAACGGGUGAGUAACAAGUGAGUAACCUGCCCUUGACUUUGGGAUAACUUCAGGAAACUGGGGCUAAUACCGGAUAGGAGCUCCUGCUGCAUGGUGGGGGUUGGAAAGUUUCGGCGGUUGGGGAUGGACUCGCGGCUUAUCAGCUUGUUGGUGGGGUAGUGGCUUACCAAGGCUUUGACGGGUAGCCGGCCUGAGAGGGUGACCGGCGACAUUGGGACUGAGAGACGGACCAGACUCCUACGGGAGGCAGCAGGGGGGAAUAUUGCACAAUGGGCGGGAGCCUGAUGCAGCAACGCCGCGUGCGGGAUGACGGCCUUCGGGUUGUGAACCGCUUUCGCCUGUGACGAAGCGUGAGUGACGGUAAUGGGUAAAGAAGCACCGGCUAACUACGUG
rnacentral:rRNA from 1 species